rnacentral:rRNA from 1 species
CAGAGGCCUCGAGCGUUAAUCGGAAUCACUGGGCUUAAAGGGUGCGUAGGCGGAUCUUCAAGUGCCUUGUGAAAUCCCAUGGCUCAACCAUGGAAUUGCUCGGUAGACUGGGGAUCUUGAGGUAGGUAGGGGUCACUGGAACUCUAGGUGGAGCGGUGAAAUGCGUAGAUAUCUAGAGGAACGCCGAUGGUGAAGACAGGUGACUGGGCCUAUUCUGACGCUGAUGCACGAAAGCGUGGGGAGCAAACGGGAUUAGAUACCCCGGUAGUCCACGCCCUAAACUAUGUGUACUGGAUCGCAGAGACUAAUACGUCAUUGUGGUCGAAGUAAAAACGUUAAGUACACCGCCUGGGGAGUACGGUCGCAAGGCUA